UACGGAGGAUGCAAGCGUUAUCCGGAAUGAUUGGGCGUAAAGCGUCCGCAGGUGGCUAUGUAAGUCUGCUGUUAAAGAGUGAGGCUCAACCUCAUAAGAGCAGUGGAAACUACAUGGCUAGAGUGCGUUCGGGGCAGAGGGAAUUCCUGGUGUAGCGGUUAAAUGCGUAGAGAUCAGGAAGAACACCGGUGGCGAAAGCGCUCUGCUAGGCCGCAACUGACACUCAUGGACGAAAGCUAGGGGAGCGAAUGGG
rnacentral:rRNA from 1 species